CCCCCCUCACGCCCUCUUAUCUCAGCUGUGUACAAACUGAUAUGGUACUUAGCAGGAAAGUGACUGGAAAUUAAAAUAACUUCGUUCACCAGAGGUUAUCAGCUGGAUAUCUGUCAUCAUCAGUUUGUACAGAAAGAGUCAUCUGCAGCAAAGGACUAGAGCAGAGCGCGGCUCUCGGCAGACUGCAGAGAUGAGCCCUCCCGACAGAAACCGAGCCCAAACCUGCUGAUGCGCGGUACUGCUCCCGGGGUUAGCGCCCGAACCUCUCAAAUCAUAGAGCCUUCAGUUCCUAACUCUUCGUGACGUCACCCCCUUCCCAAAUAACACUCCGCUGACGUAACUUUCACCUCGGGGCUCCGGGAACCUCUCGGAUAUCUACUGCCCCUGGUCUGAGAGUGAAUCAUAC